rnacentral:rRNA from 1 species
GCCUACGGGGGGCAGCAGUAGGGAAUCUUCCACAAUGGGCGAAAGCCUGAUGGAGCAACGCCGCGUGGGUGAAGAAGGUCUUCGGAUCGUAAAACCCUGUUGUUAGAGAAGAAAGUGCGUGAGAGUAACUGUUCACGUUUCGACGGUAUCUAACCAGAAAGCCACGGCUAACUACGUGCCAGCAGCCGCGGUAAUACGUAGGUGGCAAGCGUUAUCCGGAUUUAUUGGGCGUAAAGGGAACGCAGGCGGUCUUUUAAGUCUGAUGUGAAAGCCUUCUGCUUAACCGGCGUAGUGAAUUGGAUACU